UUAGGCUAAGGUCCGGUUGGUUUGGACGUCUAGUUGUUAACUAGNUUUUUGUGGGAUCGAAGCCCGCUAGUCUAGG
rnacentral:tRNA from 1 species